GGGCAGAUAGCUCAGUGGUAGAGCGAAGGAUUGCAGUUCUCGGCUGCGACAUGCUGCAAGAUAUCCUUAGGUCGCGUGUUCGAUCCACGCUCGGCCCU